rnacentral:rRNA from 1 species
GAUGAACGCUGGCGGCGUGCUUAACACAUGCAAGUCGAACGGUGAAGCAGGAGCUUGCUCCUGUGGAUCAGUGGCGAACGGGUGAGUAACACGUGAGCAAUCUGCCCUGGACUCUGGGAUAAGCGUUGGAAACGACGUCUAAUACCGGAUACGAGGCGUGGGGGCAUCCCCAACGCCUGGAAAGAACUUCGGUCCAGGAUGAGCUCGCGGCCUAUCAGGUAGUUGGUGAGGUAACGGCUCACCAAGCCUACGACGGGUAGCCGGCCUGAGAGGGUGACCGGCCAAACUGGGACUGAGACACGGCCCAGACUCCGACGGGAGGCAGCAGUGGGGAAUAUUUCACAAUGGGCGCAAGCCUGAUGCAGCAACGCCGCGUGAGGGACGACGGCCUUCGGGCUGUAAACCUCUUUUAGCAGGGAAGAAGCGAAAGUGACGGUACCUGCAGAAAAAGCACCGGCUAACUACGUGCCAGCCGCCGCCGUAAAAC